rnacentral:rRNA from 1 species
AUACGGAGGGUGCGAGCGUUAAUCGGAAUUACUGGGCGUAAAGCGCACGUAGGCGGUUUGGUCAGUCGGAUGUGAAAGCCCCAGGCUCAACCUGGGAAUGGCAUUCGAUACUGCCUGACUAGAGUAUGGUAGAGGGAAGUGGAAUUUCCGGUGUAGCGGUGAAAUGCGUAGAUAUCGGAAGGAACACCAGUGGCGAAGGCGACUUCCUGGGCCAAUACUGACGCUGAGGUGCGAAAGCGUGGGGAGCAAACAGGAUUAGAAACCCCGGUAGUCC